rnacentral:rRNA from 1 species
UUCCGGUUGAUCCUGCCGGACCCGACUGCUAUCAGAGUGGGACUAAGCCAUGCGAGUCGACGUAGCAAUGCGUGGCGAACGGCUCAGUAACACGUAGUCAACAUGCCCAGGGGACGUGGAUAACCUCGGGAAACUGAGAAUAAACCACGAUAGGUCACGAUUUCUGGAAUGGAUCAUGGCAUAAAUCUACAUGGCCCCUGGAUUGGACUGCGGCCGAUCAGGCAGUUGGUGAGGUAAUGGCCCACCAAACCUAUAACCGGUACGGGCUCUGAGAGGAGAAGCCCGGAGAUGGGCACUGAGACAAGGGCCCAGGCCCUAUGGGGCGCAGCAGGCGCGAAACCUCUGCAAUAGGCGAAAGCCUGACAGGGUUACUCUGAGUGAUUUCCGCUAAGGGGAUCUUUUGGCACCUCUAAAAAUGGUGCAGAAUAAGGGGUGGGCAAGUCUGGUGUCAGCCGCCGCGGUAAUACCAGCACCCCGAGUGGUCGGGACGAUUAUUGGGCCUAAAGCAUCCGUAGCCGGUUCUGCAAGUCUUCCGUUAAAUCCAGCCGCUCAACGGAUGGGCCGCGGAGGAUACUAUAGGACUAGGAGGCGGGAGAGGCAAGCGGUACUCAGUGGGUAGGGGUAAAAUCCUUUGAUCCAUUGAAGACCACCAGUGGCGAAGGCGGCUUGCCAGAACGCGCUCGACGGUGAGGGAUGAAAGCUGGGGGAGCAAACCGGAUUAGAUACCCGGGUAGUCCCAG